GUGAGUCAUCGAAUCUUUGAACGCAUAUUGCGCCCUCUGGUAUUCCGGAGGGCAUGCCUGUCCGAGCGUCAUUACUACCUUCAAGCACGGCUUGGUUGUUGAGCCAAUUGUCCUGUUGAUGGACAGGCUUAAAAUGUAGUGGCGAUGCCGAGUCCUGGUGCCUGAGCAUAUGGAGCCUGUCACGUGCUUUAGUGGCCCAGCCGGCAUUUUCGUCGAUUAAACCUUGGGGUUUCAAAGCCUAAGAUUUGACCUCGGAUCAGGUAAGGAUACCCGCUGAACUUAAGCAUAUCAAUAAGCGGAGG
rnacentral:rRNA from 1 species